UACAGAGGUGGCAAGCGUUGUUCGGAAUUACUGGGCGUAAAGGGCGCGUAGGCGGCCAUCUAAGUCAGACGUGAAAUCCCCCGGCUUAACCUGGGAACUGCGUCUGAUACUGGAAGGCUUGAGUAUGGGAGAGGGAUGUAGAAUUCCAGGUGUAGCGGUGAAAUGCGUAGAUAUCUGGAGGAACACCGGUGGCGAAGGCGGCGUCCUGGACCAACACUGACACUGAUGAGCGAAAGCCAGGGGAGCAAACGGG
rnacentral:rRNA from 1 species